rnacentral:tRNA from 1 species
GGUGAGGUGGCUCUGAGGUAGAGUGCAUGCCUUGCAUGCAUGAGGUCCUAGGUUCCAUCCUGACACCA